AUUGAACGCUGGCGGCAGGCCUAACACAUGCAAGUCGAACGAGUGGCGGACGGGUGAGUAAUGUAUGGGAAACUGCCUGAUGGAGGGGGAUAACUACGGGAAACGGUAGCUAAUACCGCAUACGAUCAGAUGUGCCCAUAUGGGAUUAGCUUGUUGGUGGGGUAACGGCUAACCAAGGCGACGAUCCCUAGCUGGUCUGAGAGGCUGACCAGCCACACUGGCACUGAGACACGGUCCAGACUCCUACGGGAGGCAGCAGUGGGGAAUAUUGCACAAUGGGCGCAAGCCUGAUGCAGCCAUGCCGCGUGUAUGAAGAAGGCCUUCGGGUUGUAAAGUACUUUCAGCGGGGAGGCGUUACCCGCAGAAGAAGCACCGGCUAACUCCGUGCCAGCAGCCGCGGUAAUUC
rnacentral:rRNA from 1 species